rnacentral:rRNA from 1 species
CCUACGGGAGGCAGCAGUAGGGAACCUUCCGCAAUGGACGAAAGUCUGACGGAGCAACGCCGCGUGAACGAUGAAGGCCUUCGGGUCGUAAAGUUCUGUUGUUAGGGAAGAACAAGUGCUAGUUAAAUAAGCUGGCACCUUGACGGUACCUAACCAGAAAGCCACGGCUAACUACGUGCCAGCAGCCGCGGUAAUACGUAGGUGGCAAGCGUUGUCCGGAAUUAUUGGGCGUAAAGCGCGCGCAGGCGGUUUCUUAAGUCUGAUGUGAAAGCCCCCGGCUCAACCGGGGAGGGUCAUUGGAAACUGGGAAACUUGAGUGCAGAAGAGGAAAGUGGAAUUCCAAGUGUAGCGGUGAAAUGCGUAGAGAUUUGGAGGAACACCAGUGGCGAAGGCGACUUUCUGGUCUGUAACUGACGCUGAGGCGCGAAAGCGUGGGGAGCAAACAGGAUUAGAUACCCUGGUAGUCCACGCUGUAAACGAUGAGUGCUAAGUGUUAGAGGGUUUCCGCCUUUAGUGCUGAAGUUAACGCAUUAAGCACUCCGUCCGUCGGGAGGUACGGUCGGCGAGACGUAGAAACGUACGUAAAGGUAAAGUUAGUUACGGCGUGUUACGUUAGCCGACGGCGACGACGAGGGAGGAGG